CCUCCUUAUACGAUUUAGAACUUAUUUGUUCGUAGUGUCCACACAGAUGAUUGUUAGUUAAAUGACUUAGGUCGUUUAAUUAAUAUUGCUCUUUAAAAAUUUGGAAAAGCUGAUAAAUAAAUUCUUAUAGAUAUUUAUAUCUAUAAAGAGUUUUCAAAAGUAAAACAAUGCCAAUUAAUCAAUGAUUAAUUAGCAUCUACUUUAGUAUUCAAUAUUAACUUCUGGCGAAGUUUAAACUGUCUUUGACACAUACACCUCAAAUUAAUAAACCAUUUUGGGUUGUAUGGUUAAGUGACUAANCGUAUACGGUGGAUGCA
rnacentral:misc_RNA from 1 species